rnacentral:lncRNA from 1 species
UGGCUCCACUGCUUUUGCAGCCCCAUCCUUAGACAGGCGUUCAGCCUGUCUGUUCACCGCAUUCAGAUCUUCCUUCUUCUUCUCCAACUCUCCACCAAUCUCCUUUAGCUUCUGCUCAUCUUUGUGGUCUGGUAGACUGGCUAACUUUUUCUCAAUGUCAUCCAGCCAUGUCAUUAGGUCAUCAGCCUGCCUCUUGUACUGAUACCAUUGAUGAGAAAUCUCUAAAGCCUUUUUUCUUCUUUGAGACCUCAAGUCCUUGAGAGCAUUAUGUUUAGUCUGCAACAGCUGUUGUUUUAUCUUUAUUUCCUCCCGUUUUCUCUCAUCUGUGAUUCUUUUCUGAAGCGUGUCGCCCCUUUGCAGCAAUUCUUUCACUGUGCUCUCAUCAUCUUCACUCAUAUCUUUAUUGAAGUCCUCCUCUUUCAGAUUCACCCCCUGCUGAAUUUCAACCUCCA